CAGAAUUGUUAAUUGAUAGAAAUUCAAGGAUAUCUGCAUAACACAUUUUAGAAUUUAUAAAUUAACAAAUCUGGUGUUUUACUGUGUGUGUGUGUGUGUGUGUGUGUAUGUAUCUGGGGGAACUACAGAUUGAACCCAGAGGCCACUGAGCCACAUCCCCUGCCCUUUCUGU
rnacentral:sRNA from 1 species